UGCGCUGGCGGCGUGCCUAAUACAUGCCAGUGGAACGCACAGAUGAUACGUAGCUUGCUACAAUUAUCUGUGAGUCGCGAACGGGUGAGUAACGCGUAGGUAACCUAGCUUAUAGCGGGGGAUAACUAUUGGAAACGAUAGCUAAUACCGCAUAAAAGUGGUUGACCCAUGUUAACCAUUUAAAAGGAGCAACAGCUCCACUAUGAGAUGGACCUGCGUUGUAUUAGCUAGUUGGUAGGGUAAAGGCCUACCAAGGCGACGAUACAUAGCCGACCUGAGAGGGUGAACGGCCACACUGGGACUGAGACACGGCCCAGACUCCUACGGGAGGCAGCAGUAGGGAAUCUUCGGCAAUGGGGGGAACCCUGACCGAGCAACGCCGCGUGAGUGAAGAAGGUUUUCGGAUCGUAAAGCUCUGUUGUUAGAGAAGAACAGUGAUGGGAGUGGAAAGUCCAUCAUGUGACGGUAACUAACCAGAAAGGGACGGCUAACUACGUGCCAGCCGCCGCGGCAAUU
rnacentral:rRNA from 1 species